AUGUGCUAGAAGAGAGUCCUUUUUGCUAAAUGAGAUGGCAUCUUUGAGCAGCCAGGAUGGCCAGAAACGUAUAAUUGACCCAAUUGUACAAGCCACUUGCUUGCAAGAAUCCUUAUCAAUUGUGAUUUCCAUAAUGAACAGAUGCAUUUCUCUGGAAUCAUGCAGCCGUCCUUCUAUUGAGGAUGUCCUUUGGAAUUUACAGUAUGCAGCUCAAAUUCAGGCAACAACAGUUGAUGGUGAACAAAGACAUGACACUGCAUCACAUAAAUGAUUUUUCCUCUUCUUCAUAUCAUAUUCUUCUUCCUUUUUUAGAUGUGACUCAGCUCUGCGCAAACUCGAUCUAUAUGAUCAUAUUUGUAUUUCUGUAUUUGCCAUAACAGUGGUAGAGAAUCAAUUCAGUCCCAAAUCAAUGGUAGACUGUUUUUCGUUGGAAAACUUGUAUUUGAAUUAUGGGAGAUUGCAAUAGAUUAUGGGGAGCUAAACAAUG